rnacentral:rRNA from 1 species
UACGUAGGCAGCAAGCGUUGUUCGGAGUUACUGGGCGUAAAGGGUGUGUAGGCGGUCUUUUAAGUUUGGUGUGAAAUCUCCCGGCUCAACCGGGAGGGUGCGCCGAAUACUGAGAGACUUGGAGUGCGGGAGAGGAAAGUGGAAUUCCUGGUGUAGCGGUGAAAUGCGUAGAUAUCAGGAGGAACACCGGUGGUGUAGACGGCUUUCUGGACCGUAACUGACGCUGAAACACGAAAGCGUGGGUAGCAAACAGG